GCCCUUGUAGUUCAACGGAUAGAAUGGAGGUUUCCUAAACCUUAGAUGGCAGUUCGAUUCUGCCCGGGGGUACCA
rnacentral:tRNA from 1 species